rnacentral:rRNA from 1 species
UACGUAGGGGGCUAGCGUUGUCCGGAAUCAUUGGGCGUAAAGCGCGUGUAGGCGGCCCGGUAAGUCCGCUGUGAAAGUCCAGGGCUCAACCCUGGGAUGCCGGUCGAUACUGCCGGACUAGAGUUCGGAAGAGGCGAGUGGAAUUCCCGGUGUAGCGGUGAAAUGCGCAGAUAUCGGGAGGAACACCUAUGGCGAAGGCAGCUCGCUGGGACGUUACUGACGCUGAGACGCGAAAGCGUGGGGAGCAAACGGG